UGAGUGAAGAAGGCUUUCGGGUCGUAAAACUCUGUUGUUGGAGAAGAAUGGUCGGCAGAGUAACUGUUGUCGGCGUGACGGUAUCCAACCAGGAAAGCCACGGCUAACUACGUGCCAGCAGCCGCGGUAAUACGUAGGUGGCAAGCGUUAUCCGGAUUUAUUGGGCGUAAAGCGAGCGCAGGCGGUUUUUUAAGUCUGAUGUGAAAGCCCUCGGCUUAACCGAGGAAGUGCAUCGGAAACUGGGAAACUUGAGUGCAGAAGAGGACAGUGGAACUCCAUGUGUAGCGGUGAAAUGCGUAGAUAUAUGGAAGAACACCAGUGGCGAAGGCGGCUGUCUGGUCUGUAACUGACGCUGAGGCUCGAAAGCAUGGGUAGCGAACAGGAUUAGGAUACCCUGGUAGUCCAUGCCGUAAACGGUGAAUGCUAGGUGUUGGGAGGUUUCCGCCCUUCAGUGCCGCAGCUAACGCAUUAAGCAU
rnacentral:rRNA from 2 species